AUUGAACGCUGGCGGCAGGCCUAACACAUGCAAGUCGAGCGAGCGGCGGACGGGUGAGUAAUGUAUGGGGACUGCCCGAUAGAGGGGGAUAACUACUGGAAACGGUGGCUAAUACCGCAUACUAUCGGAUAACCCAUAUGGGAUUAGCUAGUAGGUGGGGUAAAGGCUCACCUAGGCGACGAUCCCUAGCUGGUCUGAGAGGAUGAUCAGCCACACUGGGACUGAGACACGGCCCAGACUCCUACGGAGGCAGCAGUGGGGAAUAUUCGACAAUGGACGCAAGUCUGACGCAGCCACGCCGCGUGAAUGAAGAAGGUUUUCGGGUCGUAAAGUUCUUUUGUUGAAGAGGCGUUAUCCACCCAGAAAGCCACGGCUAACUCCGUGCCAGCAGCCGCGGUAAUAC
rnacentral:rRNA from 1 species